GAUGAACGCUGACAGAAUGCUUAACACAUGCAAGUCGAUUCAAGUUACCUUCGGGUAAUGAGGAUGGCGGACGGGUGAGUAACGCGUAAGGAACUUGCCUCUUGGUCUGGGACAACUGUUGGAAACGACAGCUAAUACCGGAUAUUAUGAGAUUCUCGCAUGGGAAACUUAUGAAAGCUAUAUGCGCCAAGAGAGAGCCUUGCGUUCCAUUAGCUAGUUGGUGGGGUAAUGGCCCACCAAGGCGACGAUGGAUAGCCGGCCUGAGAGGGUGAACGGCCACAAGGGGACUGAGACACGGCCCUUACUCCUACGGGAGGCAGCAGUGGGGAAUAUUGGACAAUGGGCCACAAGCCUGAUCCAGCAAUUCUGUGUGCACGAUGAAGGUCUUCGGAUUGUAAAGUGCUUUCAGUUGGGAAGAAGAAAGUGACGGUACCAACAGAAGAAGCGACGGCUAAAUACGUGCCAGCAGCCGCGGUAAUACGUAUGUCGCAAGCGUUAUCCGGAUUUAUUGGGCGUAAAGCGCGUCUAGGCGGAAAAAUAAGUCUGAUGUUAAAAUGCGGGGCUCAACUCCGUAUUGCGUUGGAAACUGUUUUUCUAGAGUACUGGAGAGGUGG
rnacentral:rRNA from 1 species